rnacentral:rRNA from 1 species
UACGGAGGGUGCAAGCGUUGUCCGGAUUUAUUGGGUUUAAAGGGUGCGUAGGCGGUUCUUUAAGUCUGGGGUGAAAGCCCGUUGCUCAACAACGGAACUGCCCUGGAAACUGGGGAACUUGAGUACAGACGAGGGUGGCGGAAUGGAGGGUGUAGCGGUGAAAUGCAUAGAUACCCUCCAGAACCCCGAUUGCGAAGGCAGCUGCCUAGACUGUAACUGACGCUGAGGCACGAAAGCGUGGGGAGCGAACAGG